GCUGAACGGUAUCAGUUUUCCGGCAGACAUGUGGACAGUUGCUUCACAGUAGUCGUGAUUACAAUCAAUUCAAAGUUCAUAAAGGGCCAUGUGGUGGUGCAGCACGGUGGCCUCACACUUCCAAGGUCUGUGGUUUGAAUUGGGGUUCUGGCUUUGUUUCGUCAACUACUGCGUCAUCCCAUCGUUCCAAAGCUGGAGUACUGUGAGCCUGUCAGGACUUUUGCUGACAUUGGUGUCUGGACCUCUUGCCCUGGGGAUUUUUGGUCCUGAAAAAAAGUCACAAAUUGCAUGACCUGCUCGCUCCUCAAACGACCGGCCUCCAUCUGAUGCCUCUCGGUUCGAACGCCGACGCAGCAUGAUCUUUCAAGAGCCGACAUGCUCGGGCUCGACCUUCUCCUUUAGUCACCACGUCCUUGCAGCCGCCGAUAAUGCCACCCAUCGGUCCGCUCCGACUCCCCCUGCUCCUGCUGGCCUCGUACGGUCUUCAGGCAUGGCCAUGGCCCAAACAUCAGCUGAAGACUAGUAUUUCCAGUCACAGACAGCUGCUGCGGGCUUGGAGGACUGCGAUGAAGGCUGUGCUGGAGAACUGUGAGCCUGUCAGGUCUUGUUUUGUUGACAGUGGUGUCUGGAUCUCUUGCCCUGGGGAUUUUCGGUCCUGAAGAAAUCCGUCUCCGUCUUCAAAUGACCGCCUUCCAUCUGACCGCCUUCCAUCUGACGCCUAAAAUAUAAAAAUGAUCUUUACAGAAAUAAGUUCACAUAUGCAGUUGUGACAUAUAUAUAAAC
rnacentral:lncRNA from 1 species